ACAUCAACUUUGGCUCCAGCUUCUCUGAUUCUUUUUUUUUUUAAAUAAAGUUUACUAAACCUAACAGUUGCAGAAUCUUAAUAGAUUAUAAUUAACUGAUAUAAGCUACCUGUUAACCAUAUUCGUAGCAGUUUAAUGUCCCAUAACAAAAAAUGUAUUUUGGCCAGAAAGGCAUUUAAUCUCAUUCUGCUUGCCUUUUGUUCUGUCGUUCUUGCAUUCACUCACUCCUUCAUUUAUUUAGAAAUCGUUUUCCAAGUGAUUAGAGAUACAUACCAGACAUUUACUUGGACUAGAUGAGAGGCUGAUUCUCCCCUCAAGUAGCUCACAGUCUAGAGAAGGGAGAUAGACAGAUGCACUCAGGGAGGGUAUAUGUUAUGAUACUGGUACCCUGGGAGCAUAAAGAAAGGCCACCCAACUAAGCAUAUGAAAGGGAAAUUGGGAAGAUUCUCUUAACGUUUCACUUGACUUGAAAAGCAUAAAGAAAAAAGUAAAUGUAGAAAUCUAGGAAAUAUUAAAACACAUUUUUCUUAUGCUAUUAUUUCAAUAAUAUCAAUUUCUAUACAAUUCCUUAGUUUUUGAAAACAACUCUGUUCAGUGAUGUUAUCCAUAUUUGCAGCUGGUAUUGAAAAUACCAGUCAGUAAACAGAAGUCCUAUCUGCACCCUUAAUUGUUUGCUGUAACAUGCUGUUAUUCAUGAUUUUGCUUCUUUGCCUUAUAAACUAAUGGCUUUGUUUAAAGUCAGUGCUUCGCAGUUCUGAAAAUCUGAUAUGUAUUGUUACAUGUGAGCAAUGCACGUUGAAAACCAGAAUGUUGCAACAACCUAGAAUGUGCUGAAGAAGGUGGAGGAUGAUGUCCCAAGUACAGAAAAGUUUUUCUGUGUAUUAAAUUUAAUGCGUCAUAUCAUCUAACAAAAGAGAAUAAGAAAUGGUUCCCACCCUCAAGAUGCUUGUGAAGAGGUGUUAAAACUAAUGUGCUUAAAGCUCCACAGCGCUGUAUACAGGAUACCUUGGAGACAUGUUCCGUUCCAGACUACAGUUAAGCGAGUAUCUUGAUAAAGCAAGUCACACAGAUUUUUUGGUUUCCCAGUGCAUAUAAAAGUUAUGUUUACUCUAUACUAUAGUCUGUUAAGUGUGCAAUAGCUUUAUGUCUAACAAAACAAUGCACAUGCCUUAAUUUAAAAAUACUAUAUUGCAGAAAAAAAUGCUAACCAUCAUCUGAGUUUUCAGUGAGUCAGUCUUUUCGCUGCUGGAGGGUCUUGCCUCGAUGUUGAUGGCUGCUAAGGGAUCAAGGUGGUAGUUGCUGAAGGUUAGGGUGGCUGUGGCAAUUUUUUAAAAUAAGACAACAAUGAAGUUUACCAUGACAGUUGACUCUUUGUUUUCAGUUUCUCUAUAGCAUGCGAGGCUGUCUGAUAGCAUUUUACCCACAGUAGAAUUUCUUUCCAGAUUGGAGUCAGUCCUCUCAAAUCCUGCUGCUACUUUAUCUACAAGAUUUAGUAAUAGUCUAAAUCCUUUGUUGUCAUUUCAGUAGUCUUCACAGCUCCUUGACCAGGAGUAUGUAGAUUCCAUCUCAAGAAACCACUUUCUUUGCUUAUCCAUAAGAAGCAACUCCUCGUUCAUUAAAAUUAUAUCAUGAGAAUACAGCAAUUCAGCCACAUCUUCAAGCUCCACUUCUAAUUCUAGUACUCUUGCUGUUUUACCAUACCUGUAAUUACUUCCUCUACUGAAGUCUUGAACUCCUCAAAGUCAUCCACGAGAGUUGCAAUCAGCUUCUUUCAAAACUCCAGUUAAUGUUGAUAUUUUUACCUCUUCUCAUGAAUCACAAAUGUUCUUGAUGGCAUCUGGAAUGGUGAAUCCUUUUCAUAACGUUUUCAGUUGACUUUACCCAGAUCCAUCAGAGGAAUUACUAUCUGUGGCAGCCGUGGCCCUACAAAAUGUUAUUUCUUAAAGAAUAAGACUUAAAAGUCAAAAUUGCUCUUUGUCCAUGGGCUGCAGAACAGAUGCUGUGUUAGCAGCAUGAAAACGACAUUAAUCUUGUAAAUCUCCAUCAGGGUUCUUGGGUGACCAGGUGCGUUGGCAGUGAGCAGUAACAUUUUGAAAGGAGUAUUUUUUCUGAGCAGUAGGUCUCAACAGUUUGUCUUAAAAUAUUGAGUAAACCAUGUUGUAAACAGAUGUGCUGUCAUGCAGGCUUUGUUCUAUGUUUAGAACACAGGCAGAAGAGAUUUAGUUUAAAUCUUAAGGGUGCUGCAAUUUUCAGAAUGGUAAAUGAGCACUAGCUUCAUCUUCAAGUCACCAGCUGCAUUAGCCCCUAAUGAGAGAGUCAGCCUGUCCUUUAAAGCUUUGAUGCCAGUCAUUGACUUCUCUCUAGCUAUGAAGUCCUAAAUGCAUCUUUUUCCAAUAGAAGGCUGUUUCAUCUACAUGGGAAAUCCACUGUUUAGUGUAGCCACCAUCAUGAAUUAUCUCAGCUAGAGCUGGAUAACUUGCUGCAGCUUCUCCAUCAGUACUUGCUGCUUCACCUGACACUUUUUAUGUUAUGGAGACAGCUUCUUUCCUUAAACCUCAUGAACCAACCUGGAUAGCUUCAAACUUUUCUUCUGCAUCUUCCUCACCUCUCUCGGCCUUCACAGAAUUGAAGAGAGUUAGGGUGUUGUUCUGGAUUAGGCUUUGACUUAAGGAAAUGUGGCUGGUUUGAUCUUCUGUUCAGACCACUAAAGCUUUCCCCACAUCAGCAAUAAGAUUGUUUUGCUUUCUCAUCAUUCAUGUGUUCACUGGAGUAGCACUUGUCAUUUCCUUCAAUAACUUUUCCUUUGCAUGCACAACGUGUCUGUUGGCACAAGGCGCCUAGCUUUCGGCCUGUCUUGGCUUUCCAUCUGCCAUCCUCACCAAACUUAAUCAUUUCUAGCUUUUGAUUUAAAGUGAAGACAUGUGACUCUUCCUUUCACUCGAACACUUAGAGGCCAUUAUCAGGAUAUUAACGGACCUACUUUUAUUGUUUUGUCUCAAGGAGUAGGGAGGCCCAAGGAGAGGGAGGGAAAUGGGAACAGCUGGUGAGUAGAGCAGUCAGAACAUACAUAUUUAUCAAUUAAGUUCACCAUCUUAUAUGGGCACGGUUUGUGGUACCCAAAAACAAUUACAAUAGUAACAUCAAAGAUCACCAUAACAAAUAUAAUAAUAAUGAAAAAGUUUGAGAUAUUGUAGGAAUUACCAAAAUGUGACACAGAGACAUGCUGUGAGCAAAUGCUGUUAGAAAAAUGGUGCCAGUAGACUUGUUUGACACACAGUUGCUACAAAACUGCAAUUUGUAAAAAAAAAAAAAUUGCUGUAUCUGCAAAGCACAAUAAAGCAAAGCUCAAUGAAA